CCGGGCGGAGAGAAGAUGGUGAUCAUCAAGGAGUACCGUGUGGUUUUGCCUUGCUCAGUAGAAGAGUACCAAGUUGGGCAGCUUUUCUCUGUGGCUGAGGCCAGCAAAAACGAGACGGGUGGUGGAGAAGGCAUUGAAGUGCUGACAAAUGAACCAUAUGAAAAAGAGGGAGAGAAAGGACAGUACACACACAAAAUAUAUCACUUAAAGAGUAAAGUGCCCGCCUUUCUAAAGAUGAUUGCACCAGAGGGGGCUCUAGUAUUCCAUGAAAAAGCCUGGAAUGCCUACCCAUACUGCCGUACUAUUGUGACGAAUGAAUACAUGAAAGAUGACUUCAUGAUCAAAAUUGAAACAUGGCACAAACCGGACAUGGGCUUUAUGGAAAAUGUACAUGAAUUGGACCCAGAGACAUGGAAGACGGUUGAGGUAGUGCCUAUCGACAUAGCAGACAAAUCACAAGUGGAGCCAGGAGAUUAUAAACCAGAAGAAGACCCUGCACUAUAUCACUCAGAGAAAACAGACCGAGGUCCACUAGGCCCAGACUGGAAGUCAGAGCUCGCUGCAAAAGAAGAUGCCCCACGAAUGUGUGCAUAUAAACUAGUCACUGUGAAGUUCAAGUGGUGGGGCCUUCAAAGCAAAAUAGAACAGUUUAUCCACAGACAAGAGAAAAGAAUCUUUACGAACUUCCAUCGCCAGUUGUUCUGUUGGAUUGACAGCUGGGUAGAGCUUACCAUGGAGGACAUCCGGCGGAUGGAGGCUGAGACACAGAAGGAACUGGAAGAGAUGCGUUGCAAGGGCACAGUAAGAGGCACAACAGCAGCAGAAGAAUAGCUGUGGGCUGUCUAAUAGCGAGACAGGUGGAGUGAGAUCCGUAAGUUGUGCAGGAAUCGGAGGGCGAGGCUCUGCUGGGGGGACCGCUUCGUAAAACUGGUGAGGUUCGAGGUACCAGUGCCGCUCAUGAACAAUGAGACAAAACUAAGGGAUCCUACUGUUAAUAUUUUGACAAGUGAACAAAGCGACACACGAACGAAGCUGACCAGUGGUGUACAGUGUGGUUCUGUCCUCCACCAGCCUGAGGGAAAGCCCCAGCAAUCGGUAGUACUGUACCCUGCUCAACGUUACUCCCUGUCACCCUUCUCAACAUAGACAACAGCCUCACACUGACACGGAAAGACUCUCGCCACUACAUGUAAUUAGCCUAUGAUGAUAUUAGUGAAGAAUGGUAGAAAAUGGUGUUUUUGAGUAAGGAGUUUGCAUCAUUUUAGAAAUAAUUGAGCUUUGUGAUGAGACUUUUAACUUCAGUGUCAGUUGCUGGACCAAAUUUAGUUGUCUGUUUUAGUACUUUCAUAACUAUAGAUUUCUAUCCUGAGUUAGUCUCACAGGUUAAGGUGUAUCUUUGACCCCCAUCCACACAGACUCCCCAGGUUAAGCACUUAUGUCAGUUAGAUUGAAACGUUCAUAUCUUUUUUUUUUUUUUAAGUUAUUGUAAUAAUCACGGUUAGCUUGUUAUUCAUUUAAUUAUAAUAGUUUUGCUUUUCUUGUCUUGUCUGGUCUAGAAAGAUCUAGAUCUAGUUUUGCUGUCGCAUGGAGGCAAUGCUCUCACCAACAAAAAGCAAGCACAUACAAAUAGCCACCUGAUUUGACAUCAUUCAUAUUAAAUGUCCUGUUAGGUGAACCACACAAACAGACCACAAAACCUCUCUUGGUGAAUGGUUUUGCAUGAGCUCUGCUUAUGCCAAGACGUAAUGGGUGUUUUUACUUAAUUUUUUUUUGUUUUGUUUUGUUUUGUUUUUUUAAACUAACUAGAGGUCUCCAUGUUCUCAGGGGGCCUCUGUGCUCAGCACUGGGCUGGGUGUAGACUCAGGCAGUGCCCACUGACAGUAACAGAUAGGAAAUGAUCCUUUCUGAGAUUUAGACUAGCUAGCAAUACAAUCACUGCUGCUUUUUCUAGAGCUUGUAGGGCAUGUACUGUACAGCUAAAUCUCAAAUGUUCCUGUAUGCAGACAUGCAUGAAUAGCAGGCAAAUCAGAUAAUAGAUUUACUUAAUGAAGAAAGGAAGAUAUAAAACCAAGCAAAAAGGGCCUUUUCAACAUAUGAAGCUGCAAGAGUGUACUUUCCUAUUCCAAACUAAGAGAUAGAUGAGGAUGUCAUGAAUUGGGAUGGUCUAUAGCUGAAAGAGGACCUUUCUGCUACACUUCUCUUGUAGUUCUACAAUCUUGUACAGUUCUACAGUCAUCUACCAGUGUGCACCAGCCUUUCAUCAGCCAGCCUAGCAAAAAACAGUUAUCAUGCUCAUUUGCACUGGUUGCACAAGAGACUAAACCCAACUUGCAGGGCUGAGAAACAUGUUUUAAUGUAGUAACGCUGAAGUAGCAUAGCGUGUGUACCGUUUUUCUGUUAAACAUCUAUAAUUUCAUUCUCGAACAGGUGAGACUGAGAGUGGCAGAGAUCUGUACAUGAUUUGUAACUGCAGAUAGCCAUUUUCACAGUUCGCACUGACUGGGGUUUGUUCAGAUGAUAUAGCAGCAGACUAUAGGGUUUCUCAGACAGCUAAAGGCUUGUUUUCGAUGUUGAAAGCAGAGGUGUGCCUGAUGUGUAAAACCCUUUGCAUUCACCUCUCCCUGUAGGACUGUUACAUUUGUUUUGAAGUGAAUCUUUUGAGAAUGUCAAAGCAAAAUUGGUGCAUUAUUUUUUAGCAACUUGUAGAUUUUUGAAAUUAUUAUAGGAAUGAUGUCCUCUCACAUUUCAACCUUUGUGAAUGUUGAGUCUAUCACUGUAGCUGGCAGGAUCUGUUCAGGUCACAGUGCCAGCCUCUGUGCCGUUUUAUCAAGUGCAGCACUUGAAUGAAGAAACUUCAUGUUGCAUCCCAACUAAUCUGCUUGUGUUUACCCAUUGUCUGAGGCACUUCAGAAUAAGGGAAGAAAGUUGUUUGAGUUGUGCUGUUCUGUGUAUGUCUGUGGACUAAUUUUUGUGCCAAUAGGACUUGGAUUUGGGUUUGGACAUUUUGGGUUUGGACAUUUGGAAUUCUUUGACUUUAAUUGAUUUUUUUAUUUUUUUAAAUCAGAUCAAAUGCGUAUUCUGUAAUUUGUAUGUAUUUUUGCCCCGUUAUUACUGAUGCAUAUAUUGUGUUGACUUAGCAGAUACAGAAGCUUGCUUAAUGUCCUUUUUAAAUUUUCUACAUUCAUUUCAAAAGCUCAUUUAAAAAUACGCUCUAUGCGCUCAGACUGUGGAGUAAAAGAUCACUUUGAUCUGAUUCAACUUCAUAUACAAAUCCAAAUCACGGCAUGAAAUUCUAAUCAAAUUCAAGUCCUGGCAGAAAAAUCAUUCCAUACAAUGAAUGUCUAUUUUACUGAAAAUGCUGCACCACAUACGGCUGAAGAAUGCUAAAAUGCUAUCCCUCAUAGGUUAUUUGCGUUACUUUUGUACACUGAAAUUGCUCUUUGAUUAUUGAGGGAGGGAGGGAGGGAGGGUGGGGAGGGACAUGUGUCCGAUACAAUUUUUAAAUCAGAAAUACUGUAAUAAUGUAACCACAAAGAAGCACUUGCAGAAGCUACUGUUUUUUUUUUUUUUUUUUUUGGUUUUUUUUUUUGAUAAUUUGAAAUUCAGGGGAAAUAGUGAAUGUACGAUAAGGUCUUUUUUUGUUUGUUCUUUUCUGUUUUUACAGCUUUUGAUUUGAACAAAAAUUAUUUAGACAGUGGAACUUAAGAGUAUCUAAUAAAUUUCAACAAAAAGGUUUUAAA